AUAUAAUAUACACAUCUUGUUGAACUGUGUCUUCUCCUAUUAGCAAUUCACCAACAAUGAAAUAAGGCCAAGGGAAAGUUGGAAAACAUUUUCAAAACAGUAAAUUAUUUAGGUCAAAAUGGACCGUAAACAGUCUCGAAGGAAAUUCCCAUGAGGACGCUGCUUCUAAAAGCACCUAGAAGUUAAACAUGCCACCUCCCGGGGAAAAUGCCUGGCACCUCGAUCAGUAUGAGUCCUUCUCCAAUCAGAGUCCUUCAGCUGUUUUCAAUUCUUUCUGACUCCUGUUCCCACUGCAAGCUGAAGAGCAAAGGAGCCAGACAACCACAGACUCAUCUCUGAAACGAUGAGCUGAAUCUCUCAAUUGAUGUUGACCUCUAAAUUGCUGCUCCAACUUUAUGCUGCCUGCUACGUCUACUCCACCAUCAUGGACUAUUAUCCCUCCUGGAAUGAUACCCAAAUGGACCCUUUCUUCUACAAGUUGCCUUGGCCAUGGUGUCUUUUCACAGCAAUAGAAAAGUAAUUAAUACAUUUGGAUGAAGGCAUGUCCUUUUAUACGUGUUACCUAAGCUGCCCCUUCUUGUGUUUUGAGACAGGGUUUCUUUGUGUAACAGGCCUUGGAUAUCCCAGAACUCAUUCUGUAGAGUGAGAUGGUCUCAAACACACAGAAAUCUGCCUGCCUCUGCUUCCCAAGUGCUGGGAUUAAAGGUGUGUGCCACCAUGCCUGUCCUUGCUGCCAUGUUUUAGAAACGCAUUUCUUUAGUUCUCAAAGGAUUUGAGAAUCAAGAACCAUAUAUAUAUAUAUAUGAUUACCUGGAGUAAAUAUGGAUGGUAAGAGGUAGGUGGGAGGCAAGUCAAAGAA